GAGAGAUGAUUUAUUUAGAUGACGAGUCUGAAUACAGCAUGUAGAGACUCAAUAAUAAAAAUCCAUUCAUGCCUAUCUGACU
rfam:Smittium culicis strain GSMNP scaffold-2175, whole genome shotgun sequence.